rnacentral:lncRNA from 1 species
UUGAUUCUAAAAUAGAGCGUUCUAUUAGGGCCCUUCGAGCCGAAAUCCGUACCUAUAGAACCAUAGGAUCUGCUCCACCUGUCGAAAUGGCUGAAGAACAACCCAAGCUGUUAAAGGAGUACUUCACUCCUCCAUUUAUAUCUCUCCAUCUUGUAUUCGACUACCUGAUACCACUGCUACUGUACAGUUUGAAAUUAAGUCUAGUGUCAUCCAAAUGCUUCCUUCUUUUUAUGGACUCAAUAAUGAAGACCCAUAUAAACACUU